ensembl:lincRNA
UUGAAAAUGGUUUCCUUUUGGUCCCGAAGCCACUGAGUGCAAUGGGCUAGUGUUUAAUUGAAACACGUGCAGCUAGAGAAGAAGCCCCCCACCCCAACGGCCUCGGAGGCCUGAAGAAUGCCCCAGGAGGAAGGUCUGACUAGAAGAGACUGGAAUGAGUCCUGUGCAGGUCAACUGGCACUAAAAGAAAAGCUGUUUUGUAGCAAUGCAGGUAGCUGGCAACAAAGGCAAGAGGACAGGGCAGUGAGAAUGAGCCUCACCACUCCUGAACAGGACCGCCACCCUGGCUGUCCUGAGGGGAGAACUGAUUUAAGUCCUGUCUCCCAACAGUCUGAAGAUGAAGAAAAGAUGACUGAGACUGCCGAGGAUGUGCAUACCACACUUGAGCAGGGUUUUGGAGAGUCACAUCAGGAAAACACAAACAUCUCGCAUCUGAAUUCAACAGGCAUCAAAGGAAAUCUUCAUAAUACUCUUGUGAUCAAGAGGGAAAAAACUGACAUGCCUCUAAUUCCAGCAGCUCGGGAGGUAGAGGCAGGAGGAUCAUGAGUUCAAAAGCCAGCCUCAGCGACUUAGCAGGGCCCUAAGCAACUUAAAAAAGAACAGGGAAAAAAUGUACUAGGUACAGUGCCCUACUCCUAUAAUCGCAGCUACUCCAGAAGCUGAGGCAAGAGGAUUCCAAGUUUGAAGCCAGCCUCAGAAAUUUAGCAACACCUUGUCUCAAAAAAAUUUUAAAAAGGGCUGGGGAUGGGCUGUAACUCAGCAGCAGAGCGCUUGCCUAGCAUGUGUGAGGCACUGGGUUUUAUCCUCAGCACCACAUAAAAAUAAGCAAAUAAAAUAAAGGCAUUCUGUCCAUCUACAACUACAAAAAAAAUUUUUUUUUAAAUGCUGGGGAUGUAGCUCAAGUAGUAAAGUGCCCUUGGGUUCAACAUCCAGUACAAAAACAAACAAAAACCAACCAGGGGAAUAAUUCAGGCAGGAUGAUAAUCUAGUCUGGGGGCUAAAAUGAGCAUGCUUCUACCUAAGUGCUCAAGGUUGGCUGCUACAUGUCGACUGGGUAUGGAACCAAGGCCUUAUACAUGCUAGGGAUAUCUCAAACUGGGGUGGGUCCCAGGACCAGGCUCCAUGGGCCUCUCCUCAAAGGACUCUCUUUAUUUUUUGGUACUGGGGAUUGAACUCAGAGGUGCUUUACCACUGAACCACAUCCUCAGCCCAUUUUAUAUUUUAUUUGGAGACAGGGUCUCACUUAAUUGCUAAGCCCUUGCUAAAUUGCUGAGACUGGGGCUGGGGCUGGGGCUAGGGCUGGGGCUCAGCAGUAGCACACUUGCCUGGCAUGUGUGAAGCACUGGGUUCAAUUCUUAACACCACAUAUAAAUAAAUAAAAUAAAGGUCUAUCAAAAACUAAAAUAAAUAAAUAAAUAGAAAUAAAUUUUAAAAAAAUAAAUUGCUGAGAUUGGCCUUAAACUUGUAUACUCCUUCCUCAGCCUCCCAAGUGGCUUCCACAACCAUGCCUGGUAUAUUGAUCCACUACAUGUCAUGCCUUAUGCCAAAUGCUGUCAUGUAAAUUAUCAGAGCAUCACAGAAAUCCUAUGAGGAUGGCAUUGUCUGUUUUAUAGACAAUACAGUGAGCCUGAGAGAGAAUGCUCAGCCAUCCCAUUCCCUUUUAGUGGACCACACAUAAUUUUUAUUUAGGUUUAGAGCCUUCUGCUUUUAAGCAUUACAUCUACCAGUUUUUAAAGAUCUCUUUGAACCUUAAAACCAACACUCAUUGUGUUUACAGCCCUUCUCAAUUUUGUGACACCUGUAAGUUUAACUUGCUUUCUAGAUCUUGGCACUGGUUCACAAACUUGGGUGGCAGGUAGACUACUCUAAAGCUGUUUUUUUGUUGUUGUUGUUACCGCAUGAGUUUAGGAUAAGGAUGUGUCACUCAUGUAUGAGUAUGUUUGCACUAAGUCUUGAAUUUUUUUUUUUUGUGUGUGUGUGUGUGUGGUUCUGGGUAUGAAACCAAGGCCUUAUACAUGCUAGGCAAAUGUCUUAUCACGGAACUAAACCCCCAGCCCCAAAAUAAAUUGUUUUUAUAAUUGUGGUUCAUAGUCUAAUAGUUUGAACACAACUGCUCUAAGGGAAAAAAAUGUUUUGGGGUGUUGUCUUUGAUUAUUUUCAUUACAAUGUUAAACUUGACU